UCUUGGCUAAGGUGUCUUGGCUAAGGUGUCUUGGCUAAGGUGUCUUGGCUAAGGUGUCUUGGCUAAUGUGUCUCGGCUAAGGUGUCUUGGCUAAGGUGUCUUGGCUAAUGUGUCUUGGCUAAUGUGUCUUGGCUAAGGUGUCUUGGCUAAGGUGUCUUGGCUAAUGUGUUUUAGCUAAGGUGUCUUGGCUAAUGUGUCUUGGCUAAUGUGUCUUGGCUUAUGUGUCUUGGCUAAGGUGUCUUGGCUAAGGUGUCUUGGCUAAGGUGUCUUGGCUAAUGUGUCUUGGCUAAGGUGUCUUGGCUAAUGUGUCUCGGCUAAGGUGUCUUGGCUAAUGUGUCUUGGCUAAUGUGUCUUGGCUAAAGUGUCUUGGCUAAGGUGUCUUGGCUAAUGUGUCUCGGCUAAGGUGUCUUGGCUAAGGUGUCUUGGCUAAUGUGUCUUGGCUAAGGUGUCUUGGCUAAGGUGUCUUGGCUAAUGUGUCUUGGCUAAAGUGUCUUGGCUUAGGUGUUUUGGCUAAUGUGUCUCGGCUAAGGUGUCUUGGCUAAGGUGUCUUGGCUAAUGUGUCUUGGCUAAAGUGUCUUGGCUAAGGUGUCUUGGCUAAGGUGUCUUGGCUAAUGUGUCUUGGCUAAGGUGUCUUGGCUAAGGUGUCUUGGCUAAUGUGUCUUGGCUAAUGUGUCUUGGCUAAAGUGUCUUGGCUUAGGUGUCUUGGCUAAUGUGUCUCGGCUAAGGUGUCUUGGCUAAGGUGUUUUGGCUAAUGUGUCUCGGCUAAUGUGUCUUGGCUAAGGUGUCUUGGCUAAGGUGUCUUGGCUAAUGUGUCUUGGCUAAGGUGUCUUGGCUAAGGUGUCUUGGCUAAGGUGUCUUGGCUAAGGUGUCUUGGCUAAGGUGUCUUGGCUAAGGUGUCUUGGCUAAGGUGUCUUGGCUAAGGUGUCUUGGCUAAUGUGUCUCGGCUAAGGUGUCUUGGCUAAGGUGUCUUGGCUAAGGUGUCUUGGCUAAGGUGUCUUGGCUAAGGUGUCUUGGCUAAGGUGUCUUGGCUAAUGUGUCUUGGCUAAGGUGUCUUGGCUAAUGUGUCUUGGCUAAUGUGUCUCGGCUAAGGUGUCUUGGCUAAGGUGUCUUGGCUAAUGUGUCUUGGCUAAAGUGUCUUGGCUAAGGUGUCUUGGCUAAGGUGUCUUGGCUAAGGUGUUUUGGCUAAUGUGUCUCGGCUAAGGUGUCUUGGCUAAUGUGUCUUGGCUAAGGUGUCUUCGCUAAGGUGUCUUGGCUAAUGUGUCUCGGCUAAUGUGUCUUGGCUAAAGUGUCUUGGCUAAGGUGUCUAGGCUAAGGUGUCUUGGCUAAUGUGUCUUGGCUAAGGUGUCUUGGCUAAUGUGUCUUGGCUAAGGUGUCUUGGCUAAGGUGUCUUGCCUAAGGUGUCUUGGCUAAUGUGUCUUGGCUAAUGUGUCUUGGCUAAGGUGUCUUGGCUAAGGUGUCUCGGCUAAUGUGUCUUGGCUAAUGUGUCUUGGCUAAUGUGUCUUGGCUAAGGUGUCGUGGCUAAGGUGUCUUGGCUAAGGUGUCUUGGCUAAUGUGUCUUGGCUAAUGUGUCUUGGCUAAGGUGUCUUGGCUAAUGUGUCUUGGCUAAGGUGUCUUGGCUAAGGUGUCUUGGCUAAGGUGUCUUGGCUAAGGUGUCUUGGCUAAGGUGUUUAGGUUAAGGUG